UCCAUCAUCAUAAUUCCAUCUCAAAGAUAGAAUGUGUGAGAGUCAGAAACAAAGAGGAGAGAGAAAAUUAAAAGAGAGAGAAUGAAUGAGAUAGAAAUCAUGAUGAUGGUGAGUGCACGCAAACCAUUCUUGUUUUUUUCUUCUUAGCCUCUUUCAUUUUUGGUACUCAAUUACAAACAAUAUUUCUUGAUUAUCCCCCAAAAAAAUAAACUCCUACAUUCUCACACAAAUUAUCAUCAAAAUCAAACACCUACCCCAAAAAAAAAACAAAGAAAUUCAUCAUGAUGAUGUUUUCUUCCUCCUCUAAAAUUAGUAGUCUCUUAUUAUUAUUACCCUACACUCUGACUCUUGUUCAUCAUCAUCAUUACAUCCUCACUCCUCUUCUUAUUCCUUUUUUCAACUCUCAUCAUCACCAUCAUUUCCUCCACCACUAUCCUCCUCUCGUCGUACUUCCUCUGUCCUCAAAUAAUCGUCGUGUCCUGUUAUUAUUACUAUUGCUAUUUCAACCUCCCCCUCGAACACGACACCUUAUUAUCAUUAUCAUCAUCAACAACAACUAGAAGAAGAGCAGCAACAACAACAUGAUGACUAUUCUUCUUACUAUUUGAAGCAACAAACAAAACAAAGUUGAAGAAAUUAAAAAGAGGUCUCAACCCGCUACUCCACAGAGAAUUGCUAGUAACGACGAUGGAUACAAAAGUGGAAGAUUUUAUCAUUUUGUCCUCUUUCUUGGUACAUACCAUGCUGCUUUCGCUUGUGACAAAGAUCCUUAAAUCUAUAUAUUGUGUCAUUCUACUGAUAUGUGGAGUUGCAACAUUUAAAUGUUAGGAAGAAUGAACCCUUAUGUUGGCCUGUGGCCACGGCUCAAGACUAUGACUGCAAACCCUCCAAGAGGUACUGCAGAAGCAAAUCAACCUCAAUGAGGCCGAAGCUGAAGCAGCAAUUUCUUAAUCACGGGCUCAUAGCUAAGUAGAACUGAAAAUUCUAUCAAACACUAGGGUGUACCAUACCCUGUGUAAAUCUACAACACUUUUUUUUUGUAACUGAUUUCUUAAUUAAAGCAUUAUGUUAUUAUCUUCCAUAUUUAUACCUUUUUAAAUUAGAAUUUCUCUA